rnacentral:misc_RNA from 1 species
GAUGAAGAACGCAGCGAAAUGCGAUAAGUAAUGUGAAUUGCAGAAUUCAGUGAAUCAUCGAAUCUUUGAACGCACAUUGCGCCCGCCAGUAUUCUGGCGGGCAUGCCUGUCCGAGCGUCAUUUCAACCAUCAAGCCCCGGGCUUGUGUUGGGGACCUGCGUCCGACGCAGGCCCCGAAAACCAGUGGCGGGCUCGCUGUCCACACCGAGCGUAGUAGCUAACCUCGCUCCGGAGUGGCGCGGGCGCCUGCCGUAAAACCCCCCAAUUUUACAAGGUUGACCUCGGAUCAGGUAGGAAUACCCGCUGAACUUAAGCAUAUCAAUAAGCGGAGGG